CUACGGAGGGUGCGAGCGUUACUCGGAGUCACUGGGCGUAAAGCGUCCGUAGGCGGUCGGGUAAGUCGGGUGUGAAAGCCCCGGGCUCAACCUGGGAAGUGCACCCGAUACUGCUCGACUCGAGUGCGUGAGAGGAUGGCGGAAUUCCCGGUGUAGCGGUGAAAUGCGUAGAGAUCGGGAGGAACACCAGUGGCGAAGGCGGCCAUCUGGCCCGCAACUGACGCUGAGGGACGAAAGCGUGGGGAGCAAACAGAAUUAGAAACCCUAGUAGUCC
rnacentral:rRNA from 1 species